rnacentral:rRNA from 1 species
GACGAACGCUGGCGGCGUGCCUAAUACAUGCAAGUUGAGCGCUGAAGGUUGGUACUUGUACCAACUGGAUGAGCAGCGAACGGGUGAGUAACGCGUGGGGAAUCUGCCUUUGAGCGGGGGACAACAUUUGGAAACGAAUGCUAAUACCGCAUAAAAACUUUAAAUACAAGUUUUAAGUUUGAAAGAUGCAAUUGCAUCACUCAAAGAUGAUCCCGCGUUGUAUUAGCUAGUUGGUGAGGUAAAGGCUCACCAAGGCGAUGAUACAUAGCCGACCUGAGAGGGUGAUCGGCCACAUUGGGACUGAGACACGGCCCAAACUCCUACGGGAGGCAGCAGUAGGGAAUCUUCGGCAAUGGACGAAAGUCUGACCGAGCAACGCCGCGUGAGUGAAGAAGGUUUUCGGAUCGUAAAACUCUGUUGGUAGAGAAGAACGUUGGUGAGAGUGGAAAGCUCAUCAAGUGACGGUAACUACCCAGAAAGGGACGGCUAACUACGUG